rnacentral:lncRNA from 1 species
UCUCAGACGUCUCGGGGAUCAUCAUGUCACGAGAUACCACUGCGCACUUGUGACAGAUUGAUAACUGAAAGGUCUGGGAUCUCAGACGUCUCGGGGAUCAUCAUGUCACGAGAUACCACUGCGCACUUGUGACAGAUUGAUAACUGAAAGGUCUGGGAUCUCAGACGUCUCGGGGAUCAUCAUGUCACGAGAUACCACUGCGCACUUGUGACAGAUUGAUAACUGAAAGGUCUGGGA